AUGGCGGGGGUGAGCGCCGGGACGGGGGCGAUGGGCUCCCUCCUCGGCAAGCUCACCGCGCUUCUCGGCGACGAGUACAAGCUGCUCAAGGCGGUCCGCAAGAAGAUCGAGUUCCUCAAGCGCGAGCUCGGCAGGAUGCAGGUCCUGCUCGAGAAGCUGGCGGAAAUGAAGGGGAGGCUCGACGGCCUGGCCAGGGGCUGGAGAGACAGCGUGCGUGACCUCAGCUACGACAUGGAAGACUGCAUCGACCACUUCAUGGACCGUCUUGGAAGCGGAGAUGCCAAACGAAAGUUCAUGAAGAGGACGGCGCGCCGGCUCAAGACUCUGUGGACGCGCCAUGACAUCGCCACCCAGAUCAAGGAGCUCAAGGCUCGCGUCAUGGAGGAAAGUGAGCGUCGUGACAGGUACAAGCUUGAUGAGAGUUGUUACAGUGCAACGAAGACGGUGGAGAUUGACCCACGGCUAACCUCGCUUCACGAGGAGGUCAAGGAUUUGGUGGCAAUGGACGACCGAGUGAAGCAAGUUACUGCUUUAUUGAUGGAUGAGAGUAUGGAGCUGAAAGUGGUGCCGAUUGUCGGGUCCGGAGGGUUGGGGAAGACGACCCUGGCCAUGGAGGUGUAUCGCAAGAUUGGACUAGGAGAAGACUUCCAGUGUCGAGCUUCUGUAUCGGUGUCACGCACUCUUGAUCUACAUAAGCUCUUGAAGGAUAUGUUAUCUCAAAUAGAUGACAAUGAAUGUCAGUCAGAGGGUUGGAACAUAGACAGACUAAUUCGUAAAACUGCACAAAUCUUGACCGGAAAGAGGUACUUAAUUGUUAUUGAUGACGUAUGGAAAGAAGAACACUGGAAACUGAUCAAGUCAGCAUUUCCUGAGAAUAAUAAUGGCAGCAGAAUAAUUGCUACUACACGCAUUAUCGGCGUUGCUAAUCUAUGUUGUUACAGCUGUGGUGGUCAACCCUAUCAAAUGGAACCUCUAGGUGACGUUGAUUCUGAAAGAUUGUUCUUGAAGAGAAUUUUUAGCACAGAUCAUUCAUGUCCUGCUGAACUGAAAGAUGUUUCUAAUAGGAUCUUAGAAAAAUAUGGUGGUGUACCACUGGCCAUAAUUACAUUUGCAAGUUUGCUUGCCAAUAAAAAACACAACAAGGAUGAAUGGGAGAGACUGCAAGAUUCCAUCGGUGUUGGUUCUUUACUUGAAAAUGAUGGGAACUUAAAAGCGAUGAAAGAUAUAUUGUUACUUAGUUACUGGGACCUUCCACACCACAUGAAGACUUGUUUACUGUAUUUGUGUAUAUAUCCAGAGGACUACAAGAUCAAGUGUAAAGGGCAACCUGGUGCAUGUAGCUCCCGCUUGCGCAGGGUCCAGGGAAGGGUCCGACCACUUUGGGUCUAUAGUACGCAGCCUUUCCCUACAUUUCUGUAA
rnacentral:rRNA from 1 species